rnacentral:sRNA from 1 species
GGGAGGGCAUGGCGGUGGCCGUGCCGGGCGCCAUCAUGGACGAGGACUACUACGGGAGCGCGGCCGAGUGGGGCGACGAGGCUGACGGCGGCCAGCAGGAGGAUGAUUCUGGAGAAGGAGAGGAUGAUGCGGAGGUUCAGCAAGAAUGCCUGCAUAAAUUUUCCACCCGGGAUUAUAUCAUGGAACCCUCCAUCUUCAACACUCUGAAGAGGUAUUUUCAGGCAGGAGGGUCUCCAGAGAAUGUUAUCCAGCUCUUAUCUGAAAACUACACCGCUGUGGCCCAGACUGUGAACCUGCUGGCCGAGUGGCUCAUUCAGACAGGUGUUGAGCCAGUGCAGGUUCAGGAAACUGUGGAAAAUCACUUGAAGAGUUUGCUGAUCAAACAUUUUGACCCCCGCAAAGCAGAUUCUAUUUUUACUGAAGAAGGAGAGACCCCAGCGUGGCUGGAACAGAUGAUUGCACAUACCACGUGGCGGGACCUUUUUUAUAAACUGGCUGAAGCCCAUCCAGACUGUUUGAUGCUGAACUUCACCGUUAAGGUAGGAAGAGUUCUAGAGUUAAGGAGAAAAGUGUUUAUGAAUGUUUAUUUUUGGUUGUUGGUCUGUUUCCUUUGACAGUUCAUAUUUGCUUUUUUUCCAUAAAGGUCUUUAUUGUUUUAUUUUCAUAAGCCUUACACUGAGAAAGAAAAGUGUAAAAUUUGUAUCUGUUUUUGGGUCAGUGUUGACUGUGUUUUAGGAUUUAGCAGGGACACAAGAAUUCUCUUGUGCUUGGAGAGGAGCUUUAGGUGUGCCUGCUUGAUCUUCCUCUUGCAUAUGAAGAAACGAUGGAGAGGUGGUCAGCGCAGGGCACACACCUAGGUGAUAGCAGGGUGAGGGCGGAGUGGAGGCCUGAGACCCACGACCAGCGCACACUUACUCCACCUCACCACGAACACUGACAAGCCAGCUUCCCGUGGAGGUGUGGUCACUGCAUGCCGCCCCUCUGACUUCUUGUUUUGUGUCCUAGCUUAUUUCUGACGCAGGGUACCAGGGGGAGAUCACCAGUGUGUCCACAGCAUGCCAGCAGCUAGAAGUGUUCUCGAGAGUGCUCCGGACCUCUCUAGCUACAAUUUUAGAUGGAGGAGAAGAAAACCUUGAAAAAAAUCUCCCUGAGUUUGCCAAGAUGGUGUGCCACGGGGAGCACACGUACCUGUUUGCCCAGGCCAUGAUGUCCGUGCUGGCCCAGGAGGAGCAGGGGGGCUCCGCUGUGCGCAGGAUCGCCCAGGAAGUGCAGCGCUUUGCCCAGGAGAAGUGAGAGGCCCUGUUUCUGCUCAACCCUUCCUUCCUAGUGCUCCCCACAAAACCCUUCCCAUGGCCCGUGUUCCACAGCCAAAGCUGCUAGCUCCUUCUGUUCAACGUAGAGGUAAACUUGCUUUUGGCUGGGCGUGGUGGCUCACGCCUGUAAUCCCAGCACUUUGGGAGGCCGAGGCGGAUGGAUCACCUAAGGUCAGGAGUUUGAGACCAGCUUGACCAACAUGGAGAAACCCCAUCUCUAGUAAACAAAAACACAAAAUUAGCCAGGUGUGGCGGCACAUACCUGUAAUCCCAGCUACUUGGGAGGCUGAGGCAGGAGAAUUGCUUGAACCUGGGAGGUGGAGGUUGUGGUCAGCCAAGAUUGCACCAUUGCACUCCAGCCUGGGCAACAAGAGCGAAACUCUGUCUC